rnacentral:lncRNA from 1 species
UUCAAUUAUAAUCUAUCUUAAAAAAAUCUAUACAGAAUUUAGUAAGAGGUCGGUCUCGCGAUUCAUUCAUAUACAUAAGAAGAUCGAAGACGAAGAAGAGGAGGAAUAUUUAACAAAAUGAAAACCAUAACGUUUAUCAUGGCUUUCUUUUUAGUUUCUCAAAUUUUGAUCCCUGUUUCUGAAUCAAGAAUCGUCGUGGGAUUUAAACCCGAAGCAUCAGUUCCAGGUAAUUUCGUUUUCGAUUAGGAUUAAGGUUAAAAGUUACAUUUAUCUUUAACAUAAAAUGACGAAUCAGGACUAGAUGUAUCGGGAAUAAAAAGGGAAGACGAAAAUGUCAAACAAGAUUCAAAAUUAACGGAGAAAGUGGAUAUGCCUUUUCCACCUCGUGGGUUCUUAGUUCACACCUAAAUAUAUACUUGUUCAUUUCUUCUAUAUAUACUUGACCACACCUACACAGGUUGCCAAAAUGUAUCAUAUCUGAUGUCUUGCUAUUAUUUUAAGGUAUCAUAAAUAAUAUAUUAUCUGAGAUAUUAAUCAAUCUAGACCGUUUGAUCAUUUGAAAUAAAUUAAGAUAUAAUUUAUUUUAUUUAAAAUAAAUUACAUCAUAUCUAUAAAUUAUAAUAAAAAGUUAAAUAACAAAUAUUUCACUUUUCGAUGGGAUUUAAUAAAUUUGUAAAUAAUAAUUAUAAAACUAAUAAAAUAUUUAUCAGGUAGUAUAAAGUUUACAUUGCUUAAA